AUUGAACGCUGGCGGCAGGCCUAACACAUGCAAGUCGAGCGGAGCGGCGGACGGGUGAGUAAUGCCUAGGUAUCUGCCUGGUAGCGGGGGAGAAGGCCCGGAAACGGGAGCUAAUACCGCAUACUAUCAGAUCAGCCUAGGUCGGAUUAGCUAGUGGGGUGGGUAAAGGCCUACCAAGGCGACGAUACGUAACUGGUCUGAGAGGAUGAUCAGUCACACUGGAACUGAGACACGGUCCAGACUCCUACGGGAGUCAGCAGUGGGGAAUAUUGGAAAAUGGGCGAAAGCCUGAUCCAGCCAUGCCGCGUGUGUGAAGAAGGUCUUCGGAUUGUAAAGCACGUUAAGUUGGGAGGCGUUACCAACAGAAUAAGCACCGGCUAACUUCGUGCCAGCAGCCGCGGUAAUUC
rnacentral:rRNA from 1 species